GGGAAAGAAGCACCUUUGAGCUGACUCUAGCCAACUUUGCAAAUGACUUGAGAGGUGUCCGCAACUUGGGCACCCUCGGCGAAAGUUUCCGCAACUCCGCAACCGUAUUUUACUUUUCCGCAACUCGGAGGCCCGCACCGCAACUCGGCACCCCCCCAAGGCUCCGUGCGGCCGAUCCGGGCAAAGCAUUGUCAGGUGGGGAGUUUGGCUUUCCGGCCCAUCUGUAAAAGAUAACGCAGGUUCCGCAAGAUGAGCUCACCGAACGAAAUCUCCGUGGACCGAACCGUAAAAGCCGUUUGAUUCUGUACCCAGUACGAACUUUCCGCGUGAAAGGUUCCUAACCUCCUUUAGACCGUCGGAAACAAGCUAACCGUCAAACCGUUACCAAGGGAUAACGGCUUGCACAGUCCGCCGCAUAGCACCCGUUGCUUUUGUCCUUACCGUCGGCUCGCCAAGUCCGCAACCUCGAACCCAUAAGUGCAUAAUUCGUCAACCCUCCGGGAACGUUGCUGGGUUUAGACCGCGCAGACAGGUUAGUUUUACCCU
rnacentral:ncRNA from 1 species